UACGAAGGGGGCUAGCGUUGCUCGGAAUGACUGGGCGUUAAAAGGGCGCGUAGGCGGUUUUGGUUUUGUUAGGUGUGAAAUUCCUGGGCUUAACCUGGGGGGCUGCACUUAAUACGGCCAGGCUUGAGUGUGGAAGAGGGGUCGUGGAAUUCCCAGUGUAGAGGUGAAAAUUCGUAGAUAUUGGGAAGAACACCGGUGGCGAAGGCGGCGACCUGGUCCAUUACUGACGCUGAGGCGCGAAAAGCGUGGGGAGCAAACAGG
rnacentral:rRNA from 1 species